AUUCGGACUAUUUAACCACCUCUUCUGAGAAAUGGUUGCUCUUAGCCUUCUUAAUGGCUUCUGACCUGCACAAACCGGGGAAAAAAAAGAUCAGAAUUUUAAUACAUACUACAGGUACGUAUUGGAGAUAUAUUUCCACAACUAGACAUACAUGUCCCCACCCUCGCAGUAACCGUUGACAAUACACACGUAGCAACCCUGAUAACAACAAAAAUCGUUCGUUUUCAAGCAAUUAUGGACAUAUACAUCCUUCAUCAGGACCAUUGAAACAUCAAGGAAAGGAACAAGACCGAAGAGUGCCCUUAGGAUGCUGAAACUGUCCACAGCAAGGAUGGGGGACCAUGCUCACCUUCUCUACCCAAGCCUCUUUGUACUCCACAAUUGUAGGUUUAUGCAUGUACGAGCGCAAGAUCAUGAGUCAUGACAAACAGAGAACAGAUCUGUUUGGAGAGCAGUCAAGAAUGCCCUACAAGGAAACAAAGACGUUUGACCGGUUCAAGAGCUCAAACUCUCUCCCUUUUACAAAUUAAACUUUCCCAUUCAUUUACGUUCAGAGUCAAAUUCAAAUUGUUCAUCAGAAUUGGGACCACAAGGAAUGUUGCUAAACCAUGAAGAGUGCUUCAAGAAGGUAUUAUGUCCUGUUCAGCAUGAAAAUUUAAACCUCUUUUUUCACAAGGAAGCUAAUUGGUAACUGCAAGAGUCAACCAAUCUCAAAUUAUGACGCCACAGGGAACAAUGGGAAUAGAGUGUAAGCAAACCUCCUGGUGCGCUGAUCGGCGGCACCGAUUGGUCUGGCGGGCGAGGCGGAUCUUCUUCAAGACAUACCUGAAAUGAAAUGAAAUGAAAUGAAAUGGGCCAGGUUUCAGAGGAGUGACACCAUGCAAGGAAGAAGAAGAGUCCAUGCAUAUCAAUCUAGAGAAUUCACAGGACAGUGUCACCAUCUGCCGGCCGCCUCACCUCUUAUUCUCAACUUUGUGCCUCACCAGGAGCGCAGACCCAAAUGAACCCUUCCCAAUCUGCUCUAACACUUCGUACUGCUCCAUUCCUGUGGUGCUCCUGGUUCGGAAUUCACCUGCAGAGCGGAGGAUGCUUUUGAAGAGGAAUUUAAGAGAGAAGUUAUCACUUAUCAGACGCACAUGUCCCAAGCAAAUCAAGAACCGCUUCAAAUUUUGGAAGUACGAUUUUUUGAACAGCUCAAGAACCUAUGGAGUUCCCAAUCCAAAACAACAACAUGGAGGGAGAGAGAAAAUGAAAAAGGAGAAUCUGGGAACGAAGCAAGAACUGAUCGCAUGGAGGAUUGAAAUUGCAAUGGAUCGGAUCAACUUGAUGGCAAUCGGCUCUGCUCUUGAUAAAUGUGAAUCAACAUCGAUGCUUAAAGUGGAGGAAAGAGAAUGAAUGGGUUCCUUACCUCGUCGGCUAGCUAAUGGAUGAAGGGCACCUGGUUCCUGUUCUUCGUCCUCACUGCUCGGCUCCCAUUUUUAGAGCGAGAAAGUAUGGCUGAUGGAGUGCACCGGAGAAAGAAAGAGAGAGGGAGGGAGGGAGGGUUGACAUGCCGACAACGAAAUGGAGGGCUGGCUGUGCUUGCGAGAGGCUUUCAAAGUUUUAAAAGUGCAGAGAGAGAGAGAGAGAGAGAGAGAGAGAGAGAGAGAGGAUUUGACUAAAAAAAUGAUUGGAUUAGUGCUGGGUGUACUCGAUCAUUCUUUAUGUGCUGAUUCGUAUCGCCGCCCCGUGAUAGCGGAAUUCAUA